CAGCUCAUGUACAACUGUGAUAGUAACGAAAGACGAGAGAAAGUGCGUUAGUUGUGGUAGGCACAUACAGAAGGUAAACAAGAAAGUAUAACAACAAAGAUACGAGUGAAAGUUAAUAGGGAGAAAUAAUUAUUGAUUUCCAUCUAGAAUCAUAGUGCAAUUAGUAUUAAUAAGCAAUAAUAGUUGACUGAAAAGUGUAGCAAACGGGUUCAAGAUCAGCCCGGCGAUAUACUUAUUCCCCCGUGGUUGAAUUCGGACGAUUAUUAAAACGCGGGCAUUUGGUGUAGUCCAACAUCGCCACCGAAUCUGUAAUUUAAAGGUAGGGUAGUCGAACCAUAGUUUGUCAUAGGAGAAUUGAUUGAGCUAGUGGGCAAAAGGAAACCACUUCUUGUAAGUAAUAAUUGUAAUGUGUAGAUGAACUGAUAAUUAACAUGAAAUAAAAUUCUAGUUUAAGCGUU